rnacentral:rRNA from 1 species
UUUUAAAUGGAUUUUAUAAAUGUUAAAGUAGUAUUAGAUAUAUUCUUUAAACUUAAUAAAUUUGGCGGUAUUUUAAUUUAUUCAGAGGAACUUGUUUUAUAAUUGAUAAUCCUCAUUAGAUCUUACUUAAUUUUGUUAAUCAAUUUGUAUACCGUCGUCAUCAGAAUUUCUUAAAAAAGUAAAAAUUUUCUAAAAUUUUUAUUAAUAAUUAUGUCAGAUUAAGGUGCAGUUUAUAAUUAAGAAAAAAUAAGUUACAAUAAAAUUAUUUAAACAGUUAAAAAUUUUAAAUAUUUUUAUAAGGUGGAUUUGAUAGUAAAAAAAAAAAUUAAAUUUUUUUGAUUAUAAUUCUAAAAUAUGU